rnacentral:rRNA from 1 species
UAGCGGAGGAAAAGAAACCAACCGGGAUUGCCUCAGUAACGGCGAGUGAAGCGGCAAGAGCUCAAAUUUGAAAGCUGGCUCCUUCGGGGUCCGCAUUGUAAUUUGCAGAGGAUGCUUCGGGUGCGGCCCCUGUCUAAGUGCCCUGGAACGGGCCGUCAGAGAGGGUGAGAAUCCCGUCUGGGAUGGGGUGUCCGCGCCCGUGUGAAGCUCCUUCGACGAGUCGAGUUGUUUGGGAAUGCAGCUCUAAAUGGGUGGUAAAUUUCAUCUAAAGCUAAAUACUGGCCGGAGACCGAUAGCGCACAAGUAGAGUGAUCGAAAGAUGAAAAGCACUUUGAAAAGAGAGUUAAAAAGCACGUGAAAUUGUUGAAAGGGAAGCGCUUGCGACCAGACUCGCCUCCAGGGUUCAGCCGGCAUUCGUGCCGGUGUACUUCCCUGGGGGCGGGCCAGCGUCGGUUUGGGCGGCCGGUCAAAGGCUCCCGGAAUGUAGUGCCCUCCGGGGCACCUUAUAGCCGGGAGUGCAAUGCGGCCAGCCUGGACCCGAGGAACGCGCU